rnacentral:lncRNA from 7 species
GACAGCAGUCCAAGCGGCCCAAGACUGCUCACGGACGGAGUCUUAGAGUCUCGGCAUCCACCUCCACCAGGCGCUGGCCCAGUUUUCGCCAUCCACCAGGCGUCCUUAGAAUAUGGUGCAGGGCUACCGAGCAGCGAGCAACAAGCUGCCGAGCACAGGGCGCCGACCGUCGAGCAGCGAGCACCGAGGACCGCCGAGUAGUCGAGCACCGAGCAGCUAGCACCGAGCAGCCGAGCAGCAAGCAGAGGGCUGCGACCACCGAGCAGCCGAGCCGCCUCGUCUUCUCUCGUCUUCUCUAGUAAAUUAAACAGGCUUGGAUGAAUUAGUUUUUUGAUUUAGAGUUUUGGAGAGAUUAUUUGUACGGAUUUGAAAAGAUUACUUGUAUGGAACGUUGAAAUUAUUGUUUGGUGCUAAAAAAUAUUAUUGGAAUGUUGUUGGAAUGUUAAUUUG